rnacentral:tRNA from 1 species
UGGCCGAGCGGUCUAAGGCGCUGGAUUUAGGCUCCAGUCCCCGCGGGGACGUGGGUUCGAAUCCCACCGCUGCCA